GGAGGAGUUGAAGGCGGACUUGGCGGAGUCGAAGAGGGACCUGACCUGGGCUGGGUCGGAAAUAUCGGCUCUGACGGUUAUGGCGCGUGAAGCAGAAGCAGAAUUGAUUUGGGAGGCUACGAGGUCGGCUUGAGCUGGGUUGGAGGAGUAGUUGAUCACGAGGUUGGCUCCGAGAGAGGCAAGAUGGAGGGCUAUGGCCCGCCCAAUUCCCCUGGAGCCGCCGGUGACGACGGCUACUCGGUCUUUGAGAGGGAGGGGGAUGGAAUCAGCCAUGCUGCCGCCUGAUCCUGACUCCCACUAACUGCUAAGUUGAAGUAGCGAAAAUGGAUUGGAUGUCUUUGGUUUGAUUUGGGGAUUAUUUAUAGCUGGGGAUAAUUGCAGAAACCUCCCCUGAGAUUUUUGACAUUUUCACUGACCUCCCCUCUAGGUUUAGAAAUUACAUUCACCUCCCCUAAACACUAACAAUUCGUUGCAGAAGCCUCCCUGACAGCUUUGUAGAAAUGAGAUAAGAAAUUUCUUUCAAUUUUGCCCUCUUCUUGCUUGACAAUUAUUAUUUGCUUGACAAUUGCUUAACUAAUUAUCUAAUUAGUUAAUAGUUAAACUAAUUAACUAUUAACUAAUUAUCUGAUUAAUUAUUAACUAAUUAUCUAAUUAAUUAACUAAUUAACUAAUUUUUAUUUAUCUAAUUAACUGCUUAACUAAUUAACUAAAUCUGUUGUCUGUCCGAAACUAACAAACUAUUUGCAUGUUAAACUAAUUAACUAAUUAAUUGCUUAACUAAUCAACUAAUUAACUAACUAACUAAUUAACAGACCAUUUGCAUGUUAAACUAUAUGCAGUACGCAUUACCUAUUUAAAGUAUCGGUUCUUUAUAGGUAUUUUACUUUCAAACAUUUAAUUUAUGAUAAAAACAUCAAUGUUUGUAAGUAAAAUUCAAAAAGUGUUACAGUAAUAUUCUUACAAAAAGGAAGGGGCAUAGGGCCAUAAAUUAAAUGUUUGAAAGUAAGAAUAUUGAUAUUUUUUGUAACACUUUUUGAAUUUUACUUACAAACAUUGAUAUUUUCAUCAUAAAUUAAAUGUUUGAAAGUAAAAUACCUAUAAAGAGCCGAUACUUUAAAUAGGUAAUGCGUACUGCAUAUAAUUUAACAUGCAAAUAGUUUGUUAAUUAGUUAGUUAGUUAAUUAGUUUAACAUGCAAAUAGUUUAUUAGUUUCGGAUAGACAACAGCUUUAGUUAAUUAGUUAAUUAGCUAAUUAGAUAAAUAGAAAUUAAUUAAUUAAUUAAUUAGAUAAUUAGUUUUUUUGUCAAACAAUUAGAUAUUUAGUUAGUUAAUUAGUUAAUUAGUUUAACAUGCAAAUAGUUCGUUAGUUUCAGUCUUUCAGACAGACAACAGCUUUAAUUAAUUAGUUAAACAGUUAAUUAGUUUAACAUGCAAAUAGUUUGUUAUUUUCGGAUAGACAAUAACUUUAGUUAAUUAGUUAAUUAGAUAAACAAAAAUUAGUUAAUUAAUUAAUUGGAUAAUUAGGUAGUUAAUUAGUUAAGCAGCUAAUUAGUUAAUCAGUUUAACAUGUAAAUAGUUUGUUAGUUUAGGAUAGACAACAACUUUAGUUAAUAAAUUAAUUAGUUAAGCAGUUAAUUAGUUAAUUAGUUUAACAUACAAAUAGUUUGUUAGUUUCGGAUAAACAACAACUUUAGUUAAUUAGAUAAUUAGGUAGUUAAUUAGUUAAGCAGCUAAUUAGUUAAUUAGUUUAACACGCAAAUAAUUUAUUAGUUUCGGACAGAUAAUAGCUUUUGUUAAUUAGUUAUUUAGAUAAUUAAUUAAUUAGUUAAUUAGAUAAAUAGAGAUUAAUUAAUUAGAUAAACAGAAAUUUGUUAAUUAGUUAAUAGUUAAUUAGAUAAUUAGUUAAUAGUUAAUUAGUUUAAUUAUGCAAAAAUAGUUUGAUUAGUUAAUAACUAUUAACAAUUAGAUAAUUAGUUAUUAAUUAAUUAGAUUAAUUAGUUAAUGGGAAAAUGACCAAUUUAGUCCCUAUACUUUUUUUUACUGUCAAUUUAGUCCUUAUAUAAUUUUUUUGGCCAAUUUAAACCCUACACUUAUUUAUCGGUUCCAAUUAAGGAUCUCCGCGGCGGCGCCACCUUGUAAUUGCGGUUCAACAUCUAAUUGACCACUUAUGCGGGGGCAUUUCUGGUACUUCACUGUUGGGGCUCUUCUUCAGAAUUAAAAAUCAAAAUCAAAAAGUUACCGGUGUAAUUUUUAUCACCACUGAAGAUAAAGGUCAGUGACUCUGGAGAUGUGAUCUGGUCGGUGGCGCUGGACGAAAUCACUGCAGCGAAAUGCAUCCAAGUAGGAAUUGGGACAAAGCAUCCUCAAGGUCAAGCUCACGAAGUAGUGAUGGAGUACUGAAGAGCGUCGGUGUCGGGUUUCAUGGUGCAGACAGUGAAAGGCUGAUUUAUGAAGGAAAUGAUGAAUAUUAUAAUGGAGACAAAAUGGUGCAAUGCCACUGCCGUGAACAAUGCAGAAUCGUGACAGCAUGGACGGAGGCAAACCCAGCAAGAAGAUUUCAUGGUUGCAGAAAUCAUGGGGUAAUUUUGUGUGCUAAAUGUUAGAUUUUGUUGAGUUAUUGCUUGAAUUUUGACUAUAAAAUAUAUGUGAAUGCAGAAACGUGGGCUUGUAAAUUUUUUUUGUGGUAUGAUCCACUCAUAUCCCCAAAAAUGAAGAACACACUAGCUGCAAUUUUGAGGGAACUGAGAAGUACCGAGAGGGAGAAUGUAGCAUUGAAGAUUGAAAUCAGCAAAUUGAAGGCAAAAGUGAAAGUAUUGUUCUUGGCUUGUACUUGUUGCUGCAUUUUAGUUGUUGCUAUACUCGGGUGCACUCAAAAGCAAAAUGGUAGCUUCAGUGAAUUGAAGAUGUUGCAGUAGUUCUAGACAUUGUAUGAAAGUUCAUUAUUCUUGCUCUGUUUGACCAUGUAAUGCUGCCCUCUUGGAAUGAAGUAAUUGCAGAGGUUUCGUAUAAUAGUUUUGGAUAUGAAUUGUUAUGGAUUUGUAAUAGUUUUGAGUUCCUAGUUGUAUGUUUACAAAUUUGGGGUUGAAUAUCAAAGAGAGCAGCUUUCUUCAGUCUUUAGUGAGUUUUCGGUGAUGUACUCAGAAAUCGAACUGUGGCCUGUGACUUGUUACUACACACAGUAUGAACUGUGACUUGACUCUGUCUUCCCUUAUCCCUACAUCAAUCUACAUGUUCAUUCCUAGUUCCAAACACUGCAUCUUAAAUGGAGCUAAUGCCAUCAGUUCCUUUCCUAAAUCUACCAAUAUAUACUCUGUCCAAAUUGAGCAAUCAACGAAUCAAUUCCAAUCCUUCAGCUAGGCAGGGGAAAAUUUUCUGAUCAUGCAAUAGACAUUCAGAUGAGCUAAAAACUUAGCCCCCAGACAAGUGCAAAAAGCCCCCAGCAAAUCUUAAAGAUGAAAUAGGGCACCUGCAACCUUCACGAGUUGGGAACAAUAGUUCACUAGUCUUCAAUCACCAAAUAAACAAAAGACAACACCAGUAGCACAUAUGCUACAGAAUCAAUUUUUCCAAAAAUCAUACUACUAAUCAACAUCUCAAAUGUUAGAACUGAUCCAUCAGAUUAGAAUCAACAUCACAACACAUAGGAGAAUAUCCAGAAUCCAGAAUUCAUUAGAUUAGCAGUUUUAACAGCAAAAAACAUUCAAUAGCUCGAUUCAUUACAAAAGAAAGUGAAUCCCAUGACAUAAAGGUCUUCCAGCAACUUCAUCAACAAAAAAACAAUAAGCCAGCUUCAUCUAGCAACUUCAUCAACCCAAAAAUAGUCAAUUCAAAAACAACUUCAUCAACAACGUCAUUAUCUAAAUAUUAUCAUUUUCACUGAUCAUCCAACUCAUCGAGUAUCCUAUGAGACUGCAAAUACAUACAUAGUGAGAAUCUCCAAGAGUAAAUUAAAAUCAAUAAUUUAUAUACGAUUUUGUGGCCCCAAAAAAGUUACCUUUUCUUUUCUUCUUUUCACAGUACUCAUCCUGUUUCUUCAUGCUUGUGCUUGGCAGCAAGUGCAAGUUCUUUUGGACUGGCUCGAGGCAUGACAAUAAAAAUAACACAUUGUCCUUUUGAGUUUCUGAGAGCUUUCAGUUGGAGCAGUAAGUUGAACAUCAAUUUCUUCAGAAACUUGAUCAACUUGCAUUAUAAAAACAUGACAAAUAUCAGAUGUGUUCAUCAAACAGUAAACAGGAUUUGAGCAACAAUUAGAGUAGUAGUUAAAAAACUUAAAAUGUAGCAACAUAUCAGAUGUGUUUCAGAUUCUUACAAUGUAGGAGAGUCUUGAAAUGUCUCAUCACAGUCUUGAAAUGUCUCAUUACAGUCCUCAAAUGUCUCAUUACCAUCCACAGAAGGAGCUGUAACAAUUAAAACAGAUUAGCAGCCGCUAGAUAAAAUAGUGCAACAUGAAAGAAAAUAUGAGUUCAGUCAUAUCAGUUUCACCGACAGUUCCGUCUUUUCCUUUGACAUCCAAUGGACAAGUUCUUGCAUUGUGUCCAAAUUUCUUACAUUUUCCACACCUAUUACUAUUCACAGGUGGUAUUCUUUCAUUGCUAUCCACUCCUUCCAUGUUGAGGUAGCAUUUUCUUUUAGUGUGGCCCUUUUGAUGACAAAGAGAGCAAGUCAUACAUGUAGCACCCUUUCUAGACAGUCUUGUGCAUCCAGCCAUAUCAUUUCGUGGCUCAUCCGGCUCUCUCCUCCUUACUUUCUUAGGCCUACCGGGAAGUUUUAGUUUCUUAGGUGCAUACAUAGGGGCUCUCUUACAUUUUUCCAGUUAUUAGGUCCAUUAAUUGGACUAAUAGCUGGCUCGUAAGCCUUUAGAUAUGAAUCUCUUGAGUAAUAUGGAUGCACUAGACUUUCAAACUCGGCUCCGGUCAAAGCAAUGCAGCCUAUAGCAUGAGAACACGGUAAACCAGUGAGUUCCCAUUUUCUACAUGUACAUGUCUUCGCCUUUAAGUUAACAACAAACUUGGCCCCAUACAUAUGUGUCACCUCAAAUCUGUCAUCAUUAGACUACCUGGCAAUAUUUGAUCUAGCAUCAUCCUUUGCCUUUUCAAUUUUUUUUGAACUUUUGGACAAAUAAUAUCACUUCUUUUUCUCAUCCAUUCCCUCUUUGUCCUAAGUUUUUCUAUUAGAUAUAUCCUAAUGUUUUCAAGCAUACCAAGGAUGGGUUUUUCUCUUGCAUCUAAUAUAACAGAAUUAAAUCUCUCACACACAUUAUUGAAAAGAAUAUCACAUUUAGCCGUGAUCCUAAAAUGUGAUCUGGACCAAUGGCAUUGCGAUGUGUUGUCCACUAGCCAUUUGUGUGCUUUCUCAUCAUACUGUCUCAACAUAUCCAUUUCAGUUUCAAAUUUAUUGACAUACGAGGAUCUUGCACAAGUCCAAAACAUACCCUUGAGUGUUUCUCCAGGAUGGACCUUUUUGAAAUUGUUGUGUAAAUGCCUAACACAGUGUCUAUGCUCCACUCCAGGAAGAAUAUCUUGGAUGGUAGAACCCAAACCCUAUUAUAUAAAACAACAAAAAAAUUCAGAAAUCAGUCAUUUCAAUAAAGUAGUUUUCCAACAAAAAAUCAGUUUCAAAUUUCUAUAUUACUUAGCCAUACCUUUUGCCUAUGACUGAUAAAUGUCCAUUGUCUCUGGUCUUGGAUUAUGAGAUCAAACUUUAAGAAUUCAAUGAACCAUGUCCAAGAACUCUUGUUCUCGGUCUCAACCACUGCAUAUGCAACAGGAUAGAUGCAAUCAUUAGCAUCUAUCCCUACAGCUGUCAAAAGCACUCCCGGAUGUGGUCAUCUUAGAUGGCACCCAUCCACACCAAGUACAGGUCGACAUCCUUCUUUAAAACCUUUUUUCAAGGCUGCAAAACAAAUGUAUAGUCUUCUGAAUCUCUCUUUUCCGCUAAAUUCAUCAGUCUCCGUCUCUACAUGCACUGUGGAACCAGGAUUUGAGCUCAACAAUUCCUCACAAUAGUCCCAAAUUCUUGUGUAUUGCUGCUUAUAUUUUCCUUGGAUCAGAAUUUUGGCUUUCCCAAAAGUCUUAUAAGCCUGAUCUUUUGUGAUGUUCACAUUCAGUUCUUCAUGCACCUUGUCCUUAAAUGCACAAACCGUAACUUUUUUAUUCAUUCGCAGAAACUCCAUGUAAUGCCUAGCCAAAAAAUCAGAAUUUGCAUGCUUGUGAUAGAAAGUUCUACCACAUUGAUGUUGUGGCCCCAUCGUUCUUAUCACGAAUGCAUCACAAUCUGGUUCUUUUGUAGGAUAAACAAACCAGUUGCAUUUCUCUUUCUUACAUUUUGCUCUGAUCCUGUUCUUAUCAUUCUUUUGCCAACCAUGCUUUUUGCCCCACUGCAUAGAAUAAUACUCAACAGCUCUUUUAAACAUCUUCUUAGUGUCAAACAAUAAACCAACAUAUAAUUUGGGGUCCUUCAUAUCCACAUCUAGCUUGAACCUUGCAUAUUUCGGUUUCUUGCUGGAAGUAUUUUCAUCCGAGCUACUAGAGCAGCUACUAAACUCCUUUGUGUUUAUGGAAUCAGAUUCCUCUUGGAUAGAAAUCUGGUCACCAUCAUAAAUAUCACAAUCAUGGUCAGCAGCAACACUUCCUUUUCCUUUUGCUUGUGCUUUGGCUUUUUGUGGCUGCUCUGAACCUUUCUUCUCUUCACCAGUGGCAUUUUUCCCUCCAUAACUAGCAUCAUAUACACUCCUCUGACCAUCAAUUUCGAUAUCAGCAGUAAUUGCACAAUUCUUGUAUAUUAUGUCAUCUUCGUCUUUCCUAAACUCAUAGUCACUAUCAUGAAACUUUCACCACUAUCCGUUUCCUCUAAUUCUGGUUCAAUUUCAUUAUCUGCACCUUCAUCUUUUUCAAUCACAUUAGCACCUCUCUGUUUACCCUUUUUUGUUUUUACCCAAUCUACUUUAGUUACAUCAACUAGAAGUUCUACAACUUCUUCAUUCCCACAAAAUUCAUCAAAUGUGAUAUCCACAUACAGUAGAUUUUUUUCCUCAUUCUCACUGCCUCUCUCGAAAAUUGCCAUGUUGUUGUUAGGUUCUAUGGAUCUAACAUGAAACUCUUGGACAAUGUAUAGUUCAACUUUUCCAGUUUGUAUACCUAUAGCAGCCAUGUCCAUGACGUCCUCUUCACUAUCUAUUUGUCUAACUCUCAGGCUCCCAUCUAUGGUAGGGAUCCUAUAUCUAUAGCUGGCGUUUUCAUCACAUCCAAGUAAAUGACCAAAGCUUAACACAGAAGCUACGUUAACCUUGGAGGCUAGAACCCCAUCAAAAUGCUUCAUGUUACUUCCCACAUAUUUUGGCUCUAGUUCUUCAAUGUAUGUCUCACCAGAGUAGAUAUACAGAGUGAAUACAUCCGAGUCAUCACCUAUUUUAUUUUCCAAACAAAUUAAAAAAUUACUACCAUAAUUUGUAAUUUACAGUCAUUGUCUGCUUUUUGAGGGACAUGAAAGCAACAUGACAAAUUAAAUUUACAGCCAUGGACCACAUGAACCCCUUUUCAGAAAAAAAAUGAAAACAGAAAACACAGCCCUUUUUCCAACCACAUUUCAAUCGAUCUUGCUAUUAAAGUACAAUAUUUGCUGUUCACAACAACAUAAACCCACACCGAACAUAGCAAAUUAGAUUUACAGCCAUGCAAACCCAUUUCAGAAAAAAAAGGAGGAACAGAAAACACAGCCUUUUUUCAACCACAUUUCAAUCGAUCUUGCUAUUAAAGUACAAUAUUUGUUGUUCACAACAACACAAACCCACACCGAAGAUAAUAAAUUAGAUUUAUAGCCAUGCAACCCCUUUUCAAGAAAAAAAAGGAAGAACAGAAAACAGAGCCCUUUUCCAACCACAUUUCAAUCGAUCUUGCCAUUAAAGUACAAUAUUUGCUGUUUAGGGCAAGACAAACCCACACCCAACUUCAUUAAGCUAUUACCACAACAAAUCAAACAGAUUUAAGUGGCUCAACUUACCCAUUUUUCUUGGUCCUGUUUUUUAAAAUUUCUUCUUUCGCGCCUUUCGUCACUUGCUCCCUUUUCAGAUUCCUUCGACUUCCUGCGCCACUACAUUUCCUUAUUCAUCACCAUUUCAGUCAAUUUCAGUUGAUUUUUGCAAGAUAAAGUUGAAGUUUCAGGUUUGGAUUUUUGUCAGUGGUGAUAAAAAUUACACCAUUAAUUUUUGAUUUUGAUUUUUAAUUAUGAAGAGAAGCCCUAACAGUGAAGUACCAGAAAUGCCCCCGCAUAAGUGGUCAAUUAGACGUUGAAUCGCAAUUACAAGGUGGCGCCGCCGCGGAGAUCCUUAAUUAGAACCGAUAAAUAAGUGUAGGAUUUAAAUUGGCCAAAAAAAUUAUAUAAGGACUAAAUUGACAGUAAAAAAAAGUAUAAGGACUAAAUUGACCAUUUUCCCUUAGUUAAUUAGUUAAACUAUGCAGAAAUAGUUAAUUUAGUGUAAUUUUUAUUAACAAAUGUUUUGUUGGAUUUGAUGAAAGUACUCAUCACAUUCAUUUGGUAAAAUUAAAUCAUGUCAGGGGUACUUUAAUAAAUUGACCCAUUUUUGCCUAUUAAAUUGCCUCCAACUUUUGAUAAGAGAGGUCAGUGUUAUUUCAAAAUUGAUAGGGACGGUCAAUGCUAUUACUAUAAAAGUCAGGGGAGGUUUCUGCAAUUAUCCCUUAUAGCUACGGACAAUGCCUUAGUUAUACUGAUACAUGCCAUGCGGGAAUUUUUUUUUUUUUUUUUAACAAACGACAUUUUUUCUUUUGUUGUUGUUUGGGGUGGGGGGGGUGGGGUGUUGGUUUAAUGGCCGCUGCACAUUGAUUAGAAUCUGACAUUUGCAUCAUAAUCGACACAAAUUUGGGGGGGGGGGGGGGGGGCUCUCACCAUUCUUAGGAAUAAUCUCACCAUUUGCAUCAUAAUCCAGACAUUUGCCACCAUUCUUUCGAAUAACCUGGCCAAUGACCCACUCCCCAGCACCAGCAGCCAAGAAGCUACAGGGCUUCUUCACCAUUCCUUCUGGUUACCCUAGAAUGGAAGUCCACGCAAAAGGAGGCCCCGGAGCCACACAAUAGGCAAUUAUCCUGGAUCCUAUGAGCUCCUUGACCAGUAGCUUCACCAUGGACUUUAGGGCUGUCCUUAGAGCCAGCAAAUGUCCUAACCUGGGAGCCAAUUUACUACAUGGGCAUGCAUUGUGAAGUCCUACACCAGUUGGAACUUGUGCUAUGGCUUCUAAUCUACAGCUUCAACAUCUGGAAGGGAAAAAAAAAGGGGAAAGACACUGAUUUCACAAGUUACCGGAAAUAUUCAUACAUUCCAUAUUAUACUUGACAUAAAAUGAUAAAAUUUCUAAUCGACCAUUUUUGUUUCAUUGAACAGCCAGAACCCGACAGCAGCAGGCAGGGCAAACUUUGCUUCAUUUGGCUUGACAGGUUAAUUAAAAUCAGCAUCAAAAGCAAAACCCCGUUCUAAACUCAUCAUUUCAAUGUCUGUCACACACCUGGUCCCAAUCCCCUUCCCAGUAAUCAACCUUCUUUCAUUGAGGCAUUUCCUAAAGUUUUUUUUGCACCUGUCAUUCUCUAAGAACUAAGUUAUGAAGGAGAGAAGCACUGGCUCAUCUAUUCCCAAUCAUCCUGCUGGCAAAUCAUCGCAAGGAAAGAGAAAAUGUAAAGGUAAUAAACUGAGCUACAUUGACAGAUUAAACGGAGUAUGAGUUCAAAUAUUCCUAGAUAUGUCUGCUUCCAGUGGAAGAAAUUAUCUAUAGCUACCAGAGUAGCAUGUCUAAUAUAAAUACAUUCUGGAAUUAAUUCAUGAAUUUUGUGCCAAUAGUUCAAAGUUUCUUCAGAUUAUGUUGGAGCAGGAAAAAGAUACUACAUCGUCGCCAAUCUUGCGAGGUUGUAAAUUCCAAAGAAAAGAGACUACACCAAAUAUACACUCCAGCAGUUGCAUUAAUGAAAAGGAGACAUGAAGUGAGGAUUUACUAAUGCCGAUAGAAGUAGCCCAUUUGAUUUAUUAUCGUGCAUCGAGGUGGUUCAGAGAGAAGAGAGAUGGUGGAUGGGUGAAGACUUAGACGUAGCCACCAUUGACGCGAAUGAUCUGACCAUUAACCCACUCCCCAGCAUCAGUAGCCAGGAAUCCCACCAGCGGAGCCACGUCCUCUGUUUCGCCCAGUCUACCGAGCGGGCUCUCGUCCACAACCCUCUUGAUCAUCUCUUCUGUCUUCCCAGCAAAGAACAUGUCCGUGGCGAUAGGCCCUGGGGCCACGCAGUUGGCGGUUAUACCGGUCCCCUUGAGCUCCUUGGCCAGUAUCUUGACCAUGGACUCCACGGCGGCUUUGGACCCCACAUAGGCAGCGAAGCCGGGCCUCAAGGCGGCCACCAUGGAGGUGGUCAAGCAGAUGAUCCUCCCUCCGCCGCCGCGCUUGAUCCUGUUGGCAGCCUCCCUGCAGCACAAGAAGGCCCCCCUGGCGUUAACGUUGAAGAUGUUGUCGAAGUCUUCCAGGGCGGUGUUGGCCAGGGUUGGGUACUUGGAGUCGAGUACACCAGCGGAAUUGACGAGGAUAUGAACAGGGGAGCAGUUGAAGGCGGACUCGGCGGAGUCGAAGAGGGACUUGACCUGGGCUGGGUCGGAAAUAUCGGCUCUGACGGUGAUGGCGCGUGAAGCAGAAGCAGAAUUGAUUUGGGAGGCUACGAGGUCGGCUUGAGCUGGGUUGGAGGAGUAGUUGAUCACGAGGUUGGCUCCGAGAGAGGCAAGAUGGAGGGCUAUGGCCCGCCCAAUUCCCCUGGAGCCGCCGGUGACGACGGCUACUCGGUCUUUGAGAGGGAGGGGGAUGGAAUCAGCCAUGCUGCCGCCUGAUCCUGACUCCCACUAACUGCUAAGUUGAAG
rnacentral:lncRNA from 1 species